rnacentral:rRNA from 1 species
UACGUAGGGUCCGAGCGUUGUCCGGAAUUAUUGGGCGUAAAGGGCUCGUAGGCGGUCUGUCGCGUCAGGAGUGAAAACUCGGGGCUUAACCCCGAGCCUGCUUCUGAUACGGGCAGACUAGAGGUAUGCAGGGGAGAACGGAAUUCCUGGUGUAGCGGUGAAAUGCGCAGAUAUCAGGAGGAACACCGGUGGCGAAGGCGGUUCUCUGGGCAUUACCUGACGCUGAGGAGCGAAAGUGUGGGGAGCGAACAGG